AAUUAAUAAUAUGCAGCUUUGCAGUAGUAUCACAUAACCAUUUAGUUCCACUGAUGACAGAAUGCCUUCCCCACUUGUUAACCAUCAAAUCGCUACGGUUAUCAUUUCUAAAAUCAUAUUUAUUGUCAUUGGUUACACAGAAGCCAGCCAAGGGGAAGAAGGGCAGCAACCCUGCUGAAAACGGAGACGCCAAGGCAGACCAGGCACAGAAGGUUGACGCUGCUGGCGAUGCCAAAUGAGAAGCUAACGAGCGUCUGAUCCUUCUAUGUACUUGGUGACUGUACAGUUUGAAAUAACUAUUUUUUACCAAGUUUUAUAUUAAGAAUAACAUUUAUAGUUGACUUGCUUUUUAUGUACUGAUUGAUUUGACAGGAGUUACUAUAUUUCAUUCAUAUCCAUUUGUAUCCCAUUUUUUAAUCAAGCCGUCUAUGUCUUGGCAAAACAGUUUGCCCUUGCUAAAUCUGUUGGCAAAAAGCAAGAAUAUUGUCCUAAACUUUGUUUUUUUGCUUUAUCUAUCUAUCUUUCUUUCUUUCUUGGUCUAUCUUUGGAUUUUAAACACCAAACAUUCUCAAAAGGCAGCUUAAGAGUGUUUGUAAAAUGUUUUCGGAAGGGUUUUCACCAUGUUGUUAGCAUUUAAACGUACAAAUACUGUGUUUUCCGUUUUUAUUUUAAAUUUUUUUUUUUUAAGGAAGUUACAAUGAAAUUGUCACUAGAAAAAGAGAAAAAAGUAAAUAAGGCAACAUUGUCGAAUAAAUUUACAAUGUGGAACCUUCGAUUUCUUUAGAGAUGUGUGUUCUGAGCUUGUCUUGUUUAUUAAGUUAUGUUCUGCAACCGUAGAAGGAUUUUCAGUGACUCUUAAAAUGCUUUGUUUUAAAUGGUUUUGAAUAAAAAAAAAUAAACUGUCCAGAAAAAAAAAUUAA